GACGAACGCUGGCGGCGUGCCUAAUACAUGCAAGUCGAACGCAGUGGGGACGGGUGAGUAACACGUGGGUAACCUCCCAUCAGAAGGGAUAACACUUGGAAACAGGUGCUAAACCGAUACUGAUGGAUGGACCCGCGGUGCAUUAGCUAGUUGGUGAGGUAACGGAUAAACAAGGCCACGAUGAAUAUCCGACCUGAGAGGGUGAUUGUCAACACUGGGACUGAGACACGGCCCAGAAGCCUACGGGAGGCAGCAGUAGGGAAUCUUCGGCAAUUGACGAAAGUCUGGUCGAGCAACGCCGCGUGAGUGAAGAAGGUUUUGGGAUCGUAAAACUCGUGUGUUAGAGAAGCGGUAGCUAACCAGAAAGCCACGGCUAACUAAGUGCCAGCAGCCGCGGUAAUUC
rnacentral:rRNA from 1 species